rnacentral:rRNA from 1 species
AUUGAACGCUGGCGGCAUGCUUUACACAUGCAAGUCGAACGGUAACAGGCCUUCGGGUGCUGACGAGUGGCGCACGGGUGAGUAAUGCAUCGGAACGUGCCCAGAGGUGGGGGAUAACGCAGCGAAAGCUGUGCUAAUACCGCAUGUGAUCUGAGGAUGAAAGCGGGGGACCAGGCAGCAAUGUUUGGCCUCGCGCCUUUGGAGCGGCCGAUGUCAGAUUAGGUAGUUGGUGGGGUAAAGGCCUACCAAGCCGACGAUCUGUAGCUGGUCUGAGAGGACGACCAGCCACACUGGGACUGAGACACGCCCCAGACUCCUACGGGAGGCAGCAGUGGGGAAUUUUGGACAAUGGGCGCAAGCCUGAUCCAGCAAUGCCGCGUGCGGGAAGAAGGCCUUCGGGUUGUAAACCGCUUUUGUACGGAACGAAAAGGCUCUGGCUAAUACCUGGGGCUGAUGACGGUACCGUAAGAAUAAGCACCGGCUAACUACGUG